GCAGAGGUGUUUCUGAGCAAGCCAAUCCACUGCUGACAAUCCUCUGCAGCAGCUCCCUUGUCACAUAGAGGGAGUGGUAGAUAGUCAGUGAAGAGAGGUAGGAAGAUGCUGCUUGCUCCACGUUCAGUAAAUCAGCCUUCUAAAUCUCCUGUAUGUGACUUUGAAGCAGACUUGUUUUUUUUACAAAUCGGCAUCAAAAUAUGUCCUGGGGUGUGCUACAAUGUCUCUCGAAGAGAUGCAAUAAAUGAUUUUUUUCUUUCACUGUAGAAGCUGAGACUCCAAUAAACACACUGCGACACUGAACAGAGGAGAACAGUCUCACCAGCUUUUAUGGCAGGCAAGUAAAGGCUUAAAUGAUUCCAAACAAAGGCAUCAUGACACCCAAACUACAGCAGCUUGAACAAGUCUAGUAGUGUUUUCACUUUCCUGAAACACUGCUGUUUACUGCAGCCGUAGCUGCGGAAUGAACAGGAGUCAGCAUGGAAAAUACUGCGUAUGUGCUAAGUCAAUCGUGCAUCCACAGCAGAGAAAAAAAUUCUGGGUUUUACUCCACUGCACAUUUAAGAAUAAUAAUCUGCACUAGGGACGCCUAGAAUGCCAGGAAAAAAAAGGUAAGUAAAAUGCUGCAACUUUUAGACAGUCUUUCACUGAACAGAAACAUUGGCCUGGUAAAAAAACAUAGCAAUUUAUUUCACUGAGAGGGUGCCUAAUGAUUUAGAAAAAUGUCUUUAUAGGAGCACCACACAGCUCUCCUUUGCAGAAUAUAUUUUUAUGUGCAAUGGCUGCCUAGUGGUUUGCACACUUUAUUAUGCUAUGUUUAUUUGAGACUAAAAGGGGAUAUUUGAUUCGGCUUAGAAGGGCAGGAUGACAUUGCUGCACUCCAUUUAUAAAUUUCCUUUUACAUUGUAUCCAAUAGGAGCACAACAUGGACAUGCCACCUGCAAAAUGUAUGGCAAUAUUGAUGUACUGGUGUACAAUUUUUAGUUUAAUUUCAGAAUUUGAUAUCAGAAGCAAAAAUUGUGUGCUAUUUUUAAUUGCAUUUAUGUUUGUUUAAUAAUUGGCAAUCUUUCUUUGUCUUGCUUUUUGAUUGGACAACUGAAGGUAAUCAAACAACUGUAUCAUAAUCAUAUCAUGUGGAUUUGCUUACUGGAUGUGUAAAAUUAUAAGGGCAUCCAAUAUAGGCACUAGUAAAGUUUACAUAUGAGUAUUAUUUACUGAACUCAUUUACAUUAAUUAUUAUACAUGUUUGUAUGUAAUAUGCAUGCCUUUAUUUAUUUAAACUGUAUUUAAUGUAUUUAUUUAUUAUGUUUUGCCCUUAUUAAUAUUGCAAGUCGUGUUUUUUGAUUAAUGUCAUUUUUGAAACUUACAUUUAUGCUGGGUACAGGUUAUAAAUGUAAAGCUGCUUUACCAGUCAUACAAUGAUGUGAGACAGCUUCAUUGUAUUUGGGGGGACUUCUAACAAAGUGGUAACAGGGCAGGUAUAAAACAAAACACUAUGGUAUUUUGGAGAUGACACUUCCGGAGACGGAAGCGUCAUCGGGACUGUACUGUGGAUAUUUUUGGUCUGGGAUACAGUGGGGAGGACAGAGAUAUAGAACAGAUCAUGACUAUUUACCUAAAGGUUUUAUGUUGCAAAGUAAAACAUUUGGAACAUUU